UCAACUUCAAUAAGCAAUGAAAAUACUUUGAGACUGCCAGCCUCUUUUGAAAUUCCAAGAUUUCCCAAAAAUCUGCAACUAAAACUGGACAACAAAGAACCGUGCCAUAAAAAUCAAGGGACAGACACACAAUAAUCAGAGUUCUAUAUGAAGCUGUGGCACAGUAUACUAUGUAUCCCACAAAUUCUGAAUAUGUGCAAGCUGUGAAGACGCUGGUAAUGAAGUAUCCUUUCCUCAAGGAUCGUGAGGGAAAUGGUUAUGGACCAUGCGUCCAAGGAGAGAUUUAUUAUCCAUAGACGCCCACUUAAAGGUCUUACAGUGCCAAUAUCAGAAGAUGCAACCAGAUACCAUGGUGGUUCAUAACCGUAUGCAGCAAACGUUUGCUUGGCGGCAAAAAGAAAUUGCAGAUGGUAUGCCUGUGGAGGAUGCGUUGAAGAAGUACCCCUUCUUAGGGAUGCCUACUGGUCUGUGCAACGAACUCGGGUGGAUCCAACCAACAACGGGUAAUGUAAGCCAGCGAUUUCGUGAAGGGCUCUCAUGUGUUG